ACGAAGGGUGCAAGCGUUAAUCGGAAUUACUGGGCGUAAAGCGCGCGUAGGUGGUUCAGUAAGUUGGAAGUGAAAUCCCCGGGCUCAACCUGGGAACUGCUUUCAAAACUGCUGAGCUAGAGUACGGUAGAGGGUGGUGGAAUUUCCUGUGUAGCGGUGAAAUGCGUAGAUAUAGGAAGGAACACCAGUGGCGAAGGCGACCACCUGGACUGAUACUGACACUGAGGUGCGAAAGCGUGGGGAGCAAACAG
rnacentral:rRNA from 1 species